rnacentral:rRNA from 1 species
CUACGGGGGGCUCCAGUGAGGAAUAUUGCACAAUGGGGGGAACCCUGAUGCAGCAACGCCGCGUGGAGGAUGACGCAUUUCGGUGUGUAAACUCCUUUUAUAUGUCAAGAAAAUGACGGUAGCACAUGAAUAAGCACCGGCUAACUCCGUGCCAGCAGCCGCGGUAAUACGGAAGGUGCAAGCGUUACUCGGAAUCACUGGGCGUAAAGGACGCGCAGGCGGGGUGGAAAGUCAGGUGUGAAAUCCUACAGCUUAACUGUAGAACUGCACUUGAAACUUCUAAUCUAGAGUAUGGGAGGGGGAGAUGGAAUUAGUGGUGUAGGGGUAAAAUCCGUAGAUAUCACUAGGAAUACCUAAAGCGAAGGCGAUCUCCUGGAACAUUACUGACGCUAAGGCGUGAAAGCGUGGGGAGCAAACAGGAUUAGAUACCCUGGUAGUC